rnacentral:lncRNA from 1 species
AAAACUAGAAGAGAAUGCAGCUCAGGAGAGAAGCAAAAACCAGCACUGUCUGGAAGGUAUGACGUGUAAAAGAAGUGCUCAGAGGAUCAUCAAAAAAAGGAAACUUAGAAAAUGGAAACUUCUUGGUAGCUGGCAAAAACUUGGUGAACUCAUUACAAGUAGACCUGUUCUAUGGAAAAAAAUGUUAAAGUUCUUCAGACAGAAUAUAAUACCAGAUUAAAGAAUCUUGGACCUACUUGAAGAAAUGAAGAGCACUGGAAAUGGCAUUAAUGAAGGGACAUAGAUGAAUCUGGAAACCAUCUUUCUCAGCAAACUGACACAAGAACAGAAGACCAAACACCACAUGUUCUUGCUCAUAGGGAAAUCUCAAGCAGUUUCAUCCAGCAAAUAUACAAGCCUUUUGUGCCUUGAACCCCAAUGCGUAAAGACAUUCACAAACAUCCUGGAAUUGGUGCUGGCUUUCAGCCGGCCUUGUCCUUUCACCAGUUUUAAGAGUUAGGUGAUGCGCCACAUUGUUCUGAGGCAAAGGUUAUCUUCCCUGCCUGGGAUUCCAUCCAGAAACAAAUAAAAAACCAAGGAACCUGC